AUAAUUCCAGAUGCCCAGGUGGAGAAGUGUCUAGAAGAGGUCAGCAGGUGGAUGUGCUGUCAUUAAUCACUUGCAGACAGCUGGUCCUAGAGUUCUUCCAGCCCUGCCCUGCCCUGCCAUGAUCUACAGCGUCUACUGCAACAAGUGAUGCAGGCAGAACCUGACAAUGGAGCUCAGGAAACAAGACGCUACUCACCUCUGCUGCCUGUGCCCUAGGUGGACCCGACUGGACGGAUAUGAUUCUCUUAAGUCACAGAACUUUGAGAUGUUUUUCUUGGUUCUCAGAGUACUUCACAUCUGCAGAUCAGUUUGCAAGCUUGCAUCUUUCUGAAGACCAGUAACUAACUAUCCACAAGCCCCAAGUGUGUACACAUAGGCAAGUGGAAUUGCUGUGGAAUGCAUGAGGUAAAUCGAUUCGCACCUACAAUUUACAUUUCUUCUCGGGUAUGUCUGACACUAAUGUCAUGACUGAAGGACUGUGAUGAAGAUUAAUUGCAUAAACACUUUUUGCUGAUUUUGUAAGCAGCCAUGUUGGUUGUCAUAUUUUAUUUUUCAAGCCUGGUGCCUAAUAGUCGGAUGGGGAGCGUUUCUACUUUUUUCCCCAGCAAUUUCAUAGAUGAAGUGUCCCAAAGCAAUCUUGCUUAACAAACUGGGGCAAGGUGUCUGCCAGCCUAGGUGUUCUAGCUAAAUAGACGGUGCAGCAAGAGGCCAAAGGCCACUCAACUCAGUUUCAAGAAUUUCAUAAACAUUUGGAUUUGGGCAGGAUUCCCCAAAAUAAAAUCUGUCACUGGAAUGGAGCUUAAGACAUCUGCUCACAGCAUAGUGGCACCUUGAAGUUUCAGCGAAAUCCUAGGAAGUGGUUGCAUGGUCACGUGGUCACAGUUCUUAAAAUGCCUCCAAAUGUUCUUGCUGUUGGAUUUCCUGUCUGUGCCCAGAAACGGGGUACCUACACCCACACAUUUCUGUGCCUACUGCGCCACACCACACAUCCACUUCUGCUUUCAGCCCUUGUGGAGACUGAGCAAGAAGUUUAACUGGUCUAUUUUAUACUAAACAUAGACUCACUAAUGACACAGUGUGCUAGAUCAGGGGAAGAGACGAGUAGACAGCUGUGUCCAGCUUUCAACCUCAAGAGGAAAUGUUGUCAUCUACAAAGCUCACAAUGGAGAACUAAGCAAUCCCCCUUGUGAAAAAAAAUUUGCAAGAAUACGUCAUAAUAUUUUAAUUAUGUUUAUGAUUUUAUUUUAGAUGGCAUUCAUAACAUCCAGACACUAGCCAGCAGUAGGCCAAACCCAAGCCACUAUUCUGUAAAUAAAGUUUUAUUGUC